rnacentral:rRNA from 1 species
UGGGGAAUAUUGCACAAUGGGCGAAAGCCUGAUGCAGCGACGCCGCGUGCGGGAUGAAGGCCUUCGGGUUGUAAACCGCUUUUAAUUGGGAGCAAGCGAGAGUGAGUGUACCUUUUGAAUAAGCACCGGCUAACUACGUGCCAGCAGCCGCGGUAAUACGUAGGGUGCAAGCGUUAUCCGGAAUUAUUGGGCGUAAAGAGCUCGUAGGCGGUUUGUCACGCCUGGUGUGAAAGUCCAUCGCUUAACGGUGGAUCUGCGCCGGGUACGGGCAGGCUAGAGUGCAGUAGGGGAGAUUGGAAUUCCCGGUGUAACAGUGGAAUGUGUAGAUAUCGGGAAGAACACCAAUGGCGAAGGCAGAUCUCUGGGCUGUUACUGACGCUGAGGAGCGAAAGCAUGGGGAGCGAACAGGAUUAGAUACCCUGGUAGUCCAUGCCGUAAACGGUGGAUGCUGGAUGUGGGACCCUUCCACGGGUUCCGUGUCG